AUUGAACGCUGGCGGCAUGCCUUACACAUGCAAGUCGAACGGUAACGGGUUAAGCUGACGAGUGGCGAACGGGUGAGUAAUAUAUCGGAACGUGCCCAGUCGUGGGGGAUAACGUAGCGAAAGCUACGCUCAUAUCGCAUACGAUCGACGGACGAAAGCGGGGGCUCGCAAGCCCUCGCGCGAUUUGAGCGGCAGAUAUCAGAUUAGGUUGGUGGUGCGGUAAAAGCUCACCAAGCCUGCGAUCUGUAGCUGGUCUGAGAGGACGACCAGCCACACUGGAACUGAGACACGGUCCAGACUCCUACGGGAGGCAGCAGUGGGGAAUUUUGGACAAUGGACGCAAGUCUGAUCCAGCAAUGCCGCGUGCAGGACGAAGGCCUUCGGGUUGUAAACUGCUUUUGUACGGAACGAAACGGUGAGCUCUAAUACAGUUUGCUAAUGACGGUACCGUAAGAAUAAGCACCGGCUAACUACGUGCCAGCAGCCGCCGUAAGAC
rnacentral:rRNA from 1 species